ensembl:lncRNA
CCCCCCCCCCCCCCUCCUCAAAUUCCCCAUCUUUUUUUGCUACUUUCCUCUCUCUCGCUCUCCAAAUCGCUCUCCCUCUUGUAUUCACAGAGUCAUUGACAAGACAUUCAAAGCUUUUUCAAAUUGGCCAGCCUCAUUGUGGCUGUUCUAAAGUGGAGGGGGGGCUCGGCUGGAGCGAGCGGGAGUGUAAAGAGGAGUGGGCCUAAAUAUACUCCGGUCUGAACGUAGUUAGAUCAUGUUCUUUUCAUGGUCCGAUUAGAAUCAAAUCGAUCCCCCCCCCCCCUGACACUCAGAGGUCUGAAGAGGAGCAGCCGGACAAAGAUUCCUCGGUGGAGACGGAUGAAUGAACCCAACCUGCUGAAUGCUAAACACAACCUUUAAGUGAGAGAUGGAGACAGAUAUGGUUCCUCAUCUAUGGAUCAUGAACCAGGCUGAGGACCCGUCAGAAGGUACUGCUGGUUCCUCAUCUAUGGAUCAUGAACCAGGCUGAGGACCCGUCAGAAGGUACUGCUGGUUCCUCAUCUAUGGAUCAUGAACCAGGCUGAGGACCCGUCAGAAGGUACUGCUGGUUCCUCAUCGAUGGAUCAUGAACCAGCCUGAGGACCCGUCAGAAGGUACUGCUGGUUCCUCAUCUAUGGAUCAGAAACCAGCCUGAGGACCCGUCAGAAGGUACUGCUGGUUCCUCAUCUAUGGAUCAUGAACCAGCCUGAGGACGCGUCAGAAGGUACUGCUGGUUCCUCAUCUAUGGAUCAGAAACCAGCCUGAGGACCUGUCAGAAGGUACUGCUGGUUCCUCAUCGAAUGGAUCAUGAACCAGCCUGAGGACCCGUCAGAAGGUACUGCUGGUUCCUCAUCAAUGGAUCAUGAACCAGCCUGAGGACCCGUCAGAAGGUACUGCUGGUUCCUCAUCUAUGGAUCAGAAACCAGCCUGAGGACCCGUCAGAAGGUACUGCUGGUUCCUCAUCAAUGGAUCAUGAACCAGCCUGAGGACCCGUCAGAAGGUACUGCUGGUUCCUCAUCAAUGGAUCAUGAACCAGCCUGAGGACCCGUCAGAAGGUACUGCUGGUUCCUCAUCAAUGGAUCAUGAACCAGCCUGAGGACCCGUCAGAAGGUACUGCUGGUUCCUCAUCUAUGGGUCAUGAACCAGCCUGAGGACCUGUGACGAUGGGGAGGAGUUCACAAACAACUGCUUUAUAGUUUUAAACGUUUUAAGUAUUUCUUGAUACAGAAGUGUUGAUCUCUAUCUUUGUCUGAUAAGUUUAAUAUUUGAUAAGUUUAAGCUGAACAAACUCCUUUGACCUCGUUGGUUUCAUCCGUGUGCAAAAAGUGCUCACUGUUAACAAAGUGGAAACCAGAGAAGCAGCUUUCAUGUUUGUGUUAUAAAGAAACCAAAACACUUAUUCCAGUUAUUGCAUAAUAGUCAAAGUAAAUCUCGAUUUACUGAAAAUACGUCAAAUGAAAAACGGUCCCCAAAGCUGUUGAAGUUCGACGUUAAAGCUCACCGGCGCUUUGAAACCCUCCAAUCAAGCUGCAGAUCUUCAGCAGCUUAUUUCACAUUCUUAAACGUGAAAAGAAACGUUAAAUCCCAAUUCAAUUAUACUUAAUUAUAAAAACCAAAUAGUUUGUUUCUCCAGCUCUGCUUCAUUCAUCACGUGGCUAAACGGUUUACAAACUAAUCCAAAAAUUACCCAAUAUGAUCAAGAAUUUGGGAUAAAUGUGUCAAUGAAAGGACACAAUACAUUUUCCCCUGAAGGCACGGAGACUGUGUGGUUUGAAUAUUCUACUCAGACAGUAAUAAACUCAUUUUAACCACCUUAAGGCUACUUAGCUACAGCAGCGGGAUGGGAUUAUAUGAAUAAAAUCUCUCCUCCACUUCUGGUCGUUUAAACUUUUAGGCCUUUCGUGUGAUUAAUUAUCUUGUUAAUAUAUUUGAUCCCACAGCUGUUUCAUUUCUGCUUUCCCACCAAAAUAUGUAAUAAGAAAAAACAUCAGGGCCUUUUCAUACUCGACUACCAGAAUAAUGAUCUCUGGUGUUGACCUGUCAAUCACCGUGUAGCCCCGCCCUAAAGCGUCCGCUGCUUUAUGGUCUGUUUGACUCUAAAUGGACCAUCAGUCACUAAAUGAACAUCAUGUUGUGUUGAAGAAGACGUGAAACUAGAGACUGAGACCAUAAACUCAUGUUUACAAUGUUUACUGAGGGAAUAAAUCAAGAGAGAAGUAGAGUCAUUUCCUCAUAGACGUCUAUGGGAGCAGAGGAGUCGCCCCCUGCUGGUCACUACAGAGAAGUAGAGUCAUUUCCUCAUAGACGUCUAUGGGAGCAGAGGAGUCGCCCCCUGCUGGUCACUACAGAGAAGUAGAGUCAUUUCCUCAUAG